UACGUAGGGGGCAAGCGUUGUCCGGAAUCAUUGGGCGUAAAGAGCGCGUAGGCGGUCCGGUAAGUCGGUUGUGAAAACUGGGGGCUCAACCCUCAGAGGCCGACCGAUACUGUCGGGCUAGAGUCCGGAAGAGGCGAGUGGAAUUCCUGGUGUAGCGGUGAAAUGCGCAGAUAUCAGGAGGAACACCUAUUGCGAAGGCAGCUCGCUGGGACGUAACUGACGCUGAGGAACGAAAGCUAGGGGAGCAAACAGG
rnacentral:rRNA from 1 species